rnacentral:rRNA from 1 species
GGGCGUCAAUAAACUUGUUAUUAUUAGACCUACCUUAAUACCCGCCCGAGUACUACAAGCGCUAGCUUCAAACCCAAAGGACUUGGCGGUGCUCCAAACCCAUCUAGAGGAGCCUGUUCUAUAACCGAUGAUCCGCGUUCAACCUCACCACUUCUUGCCCUAAACCGCCUAUAUACCGCCGUCGCCAGCUCACCCUAUGAAGGUUUAACAGUAAGCAAAAUGACCCUCCCUCAACACGUCAGGUCGAGGUGUAGCGAAUGAAGUGGGAAGAAAUGGGCUACAUUCUCUAUCAAGAACACACGAAAAGAAGCAUGAAAACCCUCUCAAAGGUGGAUUUAGCAGUAAGUGAACUUUAGAACAUUACACUGAAACCGGCUCUGGAGCGCGCACACACCGCCCGUUCACCCUCCA